rnacentral:sRNA from 1 species
GUUUAUUUCUACAACCAAUUUUCUGGAGAGAUUCUCUCAACUGUCUAGGUUACUUUCAGGUUUUAUCAUUUUUAUCAUGCUCUUUGUUGCACUUGUCCUGGGAUUGUUGGGUCAAGUUGUCUCUGAAGACGCAGAGACCGCUCUUGCAUCUACAAGUUCACAAUGUCAAUCACGAGUUGCAGAUUGUAAAACCUUAAAUAACAAUGUACGAAUGUUGUACACGUCUUUAAAAUAUUGUGAAGCCAUUAGAUACUCAACACCAAGUUUCGCUUCUCUGACAUGUCUGGUGGUAGACAAUGGCUGUACUCUGACCGAGUACUUCAGAGUGAGAAAUGCUGCUUGUGGAACAAGUUCAACAACUGGUAUGGAUACUGACGAAAACGUUGGCAUCGCUCUUGUAUCAAGUAGUCAGCAAUGUAGAUCGAAAGUCAAUAUCUGCAUAGCUUUAGACACCACGGUCAAUAAUUUGUACAUGUCUUCAAAAUAUUGUGAAGCCUUGCAAUAUUCAGCAUCCAGUGUUACCGCUCAGUCUUGUCUGGUAGGAAGCAGCGGCUGUACCCAGAGCGAGUACGACAGCUUGAAGCGAGCUGCGUGUACAGCAAGUUCUUUGGUAGUUGGAACUUUAUCUAUGUUUUUAUGUUCCUUUAUUUAUCUAUUUACAAAUUUCUUUUGAAAUGCCUUAAAAAUACGCUGUAUUCUUUGUAAAAAAAAAGAAAUUGUAGAAAUAAGGAUAAAAACUACUUGGGUUUAAUUAGUCUUUCCUUCUAAACAUACACGAACAAAAUAUGACAUUGUUGAUGAUGCAGACAGAUAAUAUGAUUUGUUUAAACAUUGUAUUUUGUAAGGACAUCUUAAUUAAAUAUCACGGUUAAAAAACAAACAAACUAUUUUUUUUUAUAUUCCCAGACAUUGUUCAUCAUAUGAAAACAUAUAGAAAUUAGUUGAACAACUCAAAAGUUAAGUAUUUAACCUAUCGCCGAAUUUAUUUGUAACUGUAACUUUGUUUGACUCGUAUAUUUCUUCAUCUUAUUAUUUCAUAUCUACUCACUGACUUCCAUACUAUAAAGGACAGUCCUGACUGGAACGCGAACCAUGUACUCUCCAAUUCGACAACUUAUCUCACUUAAACUGCCUUUUGGUAUUCAACAUGCAUGUAUUACUCCUUGUUCUAAAUAUAUUAUUAAUGAAAAUUUUAUUUCAAACUUAUUUUGUCUUUGUAAAGACGUGUAGACUUGAUUAUAUAGACACAGAGUUGUACAAGCUAAAUACUUAAGUAAGUACAUAAAAUAAACUAAUUGAUACAAAUUGAGAAUGUCUGUCUAGAAGUACACAAUUGGAUUGGAUACUAUUAGUACGAAUAAAAAAAAAAAGAAAUGAAAUCAAUUUAUUGUUUGAGUGUUUUAGGAAUUAGUUUUUUGUUUGUAAAGUAAUUAGAUUUCUGAAUUAAAAGUUUCUUGCUUUCACAGA